GAUGAACGCUGGCGGUGUGCCUAAUACAGGCAAGUCGUGCGGAAACAUGCCUUCGGGUGAUGUCGAGCGGCGGACGGCUGAGUAACGCGUGGGAACGUGCCCCAAAGUGAGGGAUAACGCACCGAAAGGUGUGCUAAUACCGCAUAUGGUCUUCGGAUUAAAGCUUCGGCGCUUUGGGAGCGGCCCGCGUCUGAUUAGAUAGUUGGUGAGGUAAUGGCUCACCAAGUCGACGAUCAGUAGCUGGUCUGAGAGGAUGAUCAGCCAGACUGGAACUGAGACACGGUCCAGACUCCUACGGGAGGCAGCAGUAAGGAAUCUUCCACAAUGGGGGCACCCUGAUGGAGCAACACCGCGUGUAGGAUGAAGGCCUUAGGGUCGUAAACUACUUUUGUUAGCGAAGAAUAUGACGGUAACUAACGAAUAAGGGUCGGCUAACUACGUGCCAGCAGCCGCCGUAA
rnacentral:rRNA from 1 species